UACGUAGGGACCAAGCGUUGUUCGGAUUUACUGGGCGUAAAGGGCGCGUAGGCGGCGUGGUAAGUCACUUGUGAAAUCUCUGAGCUUAACUCAGAACGGCCAAGUGAUACUGCUGUGCUAGAGUGCAGAAGGGGCAAUCGGAAUUCUUGGUGUAGCGGUGAAAUGCGUAGAUAUCAAGAGGAACACCUGAGGUGAAGACGGGUUGCUGGGCUGACACUGACGCUGAGGCGCGAAAGCCAGGG
rnacentral:rRNA from 1 species